rnacentral:rRNA from 1 species
AGCGAACGCUGGCGGCAGGCCUAACACAUGCAAGUCGAACGAACUCUUCGGAGUUAGUGGCGGACGGGUGAGUAACACGUGGGAACGUGCCUUUUGGUUCGGAAUAACUCAGGGAAACUUGUGCUAAUACCGAAUGUGCCCUUCGGGGGAAAGAUUUAUCGCCAUUAGAGCGGCCCGCGUCUGAUUAGCUAGUUGGUGAGGUAACGGCUCACCAAGGCGACGAUCAGUAGCUGGUCUGAGAGGAUGACCAGCCACACUGGGACUGAGACACGGCCCAGACUCCUACGGGAGGCAGCAGUGGGGAAUCGUGCGCAAUGGGCGAAAGCCUGACGGAGCCAUGCCGCGUGAAUGAUGAAGGUCUUAGGAUUGUAAAAUUCUUUCACCGGGGACGAUAAUGACGGUACCCGGAGAAGAAGCCCCGGCUAACUUCGUG